AAAUGAGAUUUGUGUGACCGAUUUUAAGAGGAGAGGGCUAUAGAAAGACGUGUCAGGCUAUGAGCCAAAGUUUUGUUUUUUUGUAUUUUCUUUUUUUUUUGUCUUUCUUUCUUCUCUCCUCUCACUGUUCUCCGUCACAAAAGAAGGAGAGAAGCGGUGAACGACAAUUCACACCAACUUGUUCGCUGCUUUGGAUACUCGGAGGAAUAAGAAGAAGAAGUCCGAUAAGGCCAAAGCUUCCUCCUUCACUAAGGAGCCUGAGCCACAGGUCUUCUGAUAUCAACAGCUACGAUGAAGAUGAUGACUAUUUCGCUACCACUGCUCCUCCUCCUCAGCCCUUGUCGAGGUGAUACUACUUAAAACUACCCUCAUUGAUCACUCCAGCAUUCAAAGGUUCUAGCUUUCUGUGAAGGAAGAGCCUGAGACACAAGUUCAUCCAGAAGCAGAGCCUGAGGUGAAAAGGACUCCUGAAUUUCGUUAAUGGGUCCUUCCCCUUCGACCCCCCUUUUCACUGUUAUCUACAUCUUGUGAUCCCUGCUCUAGGAAUAAUCAUGUUCUUAGAAUCUUAUAUAAAAAUUAUCUUUCGAGAACACUAA